ACGGGAGGCAGCAGUGGGGAAUAUUGGACAAUGGGGGAAACCCUGAUGCAGCGAUGCCGCGUGGAAGAAGAAGGUUUUCGGAUUGUAAACUCCUGUCUUAAAGGACGAUAAUGACGGUACUUUAGGAGGAAGCUCCGGCUAACUACGUGCCAGCAGCCGCGGUAAUACGUAGGGAGCGAGCGUUGUCCGGAAUUACUGGGUGUAAAGGGAGCGUAGGCGGGACGGCAAGUCAGAUGUGAAAUACAUGGGCUCAACCCAUGGGCUGCAUUUGAAACUGCUGAUCUUGAGUGAAGGAGAGGUAAGCGGAAUUCCUUGUGUAGCGGUGAAAUGCGUAGAUAUCAGGAGGAACACCGGUGGCGAUGGCGGCUUACUGGGCUUCUACUGACGCUGAGGCUCGAAAGCGUGGGGAGCAAACAGGAUUAGAUACCCUGGUA
rnacentral:rRNA from 1 species